rnacentral:rRNA from 1 species
AGCGAACGCUGGCGGCAGGCCUAACACAUGCAAGUCGAACGAAGUCUUCGGACUUAGUGGCGGACGGGUGAGUAACACGUGGGAACGUGCCUUUAGGUUCGGAAUAACUCAGGGAAACUCGUGCUAAUACCGAAUGGGCCCUUCGGGGGAAAGAUUUAUCGCCUUUAGAGCGGCCCGCGUCUGAUUAGCUAGUUGGUGAGGUAAUGGCUCACCAAGGCUACGAUCAGUAGCUGGUCUGAGAGGAUGACCAGCCACAUUGGGACUGAGACACGGCCCAAACUCCUACGGGAGGCAGCAGUGGGGAAUCUUGCGCAAUGGGCGAAAGCCUGACGCAGCCAUGCCGCGUGGAUGAUGAAGGUCUUAGGAUUGUAAAAUCCUUUCACCGGUGAAGAUGAUGACUGUAGCCGGAGAAGAAGCCCCGGCUAACUUCGUGCCAGCCGCCGCCGUAAGAC